GGGGCUGACAUAGCUUUCGACAACUGGACAUUAACAGGUUAUUUUGCAAGUCGACCAUACACGAUACGUAUACUUUUAAUUGCAAAGAAUUUUGCUAGCAAGGUCGCGAGCCUUUUCCAGGUUCGUGCUUUUGCGCCAGCUGUAGCCUAGCUAACAGCCAUCUCUGUGCCCAGGUAACAUAGGGCAUAAGGGGUGUUAUAUCUAUGUUACUUGCUGAAUUUUACGCGCAGUGGCGUAGAUUCGGGACUCUCUCCACGCAACAACUCUAACAUUUGCGGCUGUUUUUUAGUUAGAUGAGUUGUAAAGCCCUUAAGAUAGCCUAAGCUUGUAGACGAAUAACCAGUUACCAUUUGGACCCGGGGGCAGUGCCCGGCAGCUCCACCA
rnacentral:tmRNA from 1 species